AUUGAACGCUGGCGGCAGGCCUAACACAUGCAAGUCGAACGAGUGGCGGACGGGUGAGUAAUGUCUGGGAAACUGCCUGAUCGAGAGGGAUAACUACUGGAAACGGUAGCAAAUACCACUUACCAUCAGAUGUGCCCAGAUGGGAUUAGCUAGUUGGUGGGGUAACGGCUCACCAAGGCGACGAUCCCUAGCUGGUCUGAGAGGAUGACCAGCCACACUGGAACUGAGACACGGUCCAGACUCCUACGGGAGGCAGCAGUGGGGAAUAUUGCACAAUGGGCGUAAGCCUGAUGCAGCCAUCCCGCGUGUAUGAAGAAGGCCUUCGGGUUGUAAAGUACUUUCAGCGGGGAGGCGUUACCCGCAGAAGAAGCACCGGCUAACUCCGUGCCAGCCGCCGCGGUAAUUC
rnacentral:rRNA from 1 species